rnacentral:misc_RNA from 1 species
AACACAAAGACCUGGACAUAUUAAAGUCUCGAAGACCUGGACAUUAUAGCAAGCUGUUUUCCAAGAUAGCCUAAAUCUUCGCUGCUUUGAAGAUAAAGCAUCACUCUGUGAGACGUGGAAACUCUUACCUCCGAGUGAUCUUUGUGCUGCUGCUAUCUAUUUGCAACUUUCAGGAGGGCAAGAAUCUCCACAUCAUUGAGGGCUAAUUCUGA